rnacentral:rRNA from 1 species
UACGGGAGGCAGCAGUGGGGAAUAUUGCACAAUGGGCGCAAGCCUGAUGCAGCCAUGCCGCGUGUAUGAAGAAGGCCUUCGGGUUGUAAAGUACUUUCAGUCGUGAGGAAGGUGUUAAGGUUAAUAACCUUAGCAAUUGACGUUAGCGACAGAAGAAGCACCGGCUAACUCCGUGCCAGCAGCCGCGGUAAUACGGAGGGUGCGAGCGUUAAUCGGAAUUACUGGGCGUAAAGGGCACGCAGGCGGUUAAUUAAGUUGGAUGUGAAAUCCCCGGGCUUAACCUGGGAAUGGCAUUCAAGCUGGUUAGCUAGAGUCUUGUAGAGGGGGUAGAAUUCCAUGUGUAGCGGUGAAAUGCGUAGAGAUGUGGAGGAAUACCGGUGGCGAAGGCGGCCCCUGGACAAAGACUGACGCUCAUGUGCGAAAGCGUGGGGAGCAAACGAGGGAUUUAGAU